CAGUAGCCGCGGUAAUACGUAGGGGGCGAGCGUUGUCCGAAGUUACUGGGCGUAAAGAGCGCGUAGGCGGGUCUUUAAGUGAGGGGUGAAAGGUUCAGGGCUCAACCCGGACACUACCUUUCAUACUGGAGACCUUGAGUGUGGGAGAGGCGAGUGGAAUUCUUGGUGUAGCGGUGAAAUGCGUAGAUAUCAAGAGGAACACCCAUGGCGAAGGCAGCUCGCUGGCCUAUAACUGACGCUGAGGCGCGAAAGCUGGGGGAGCAAACAGGAUUAGAUACCCCCGUAGUCCCUGUCUCUUAUA
rnacentral:rRNA from 1 species